CCUACGGGGGGCAGCAGUAGGGAAUCUUCCACAAUGGACGAAAGUCUGAUGGAGCAACGCCGCGUGAGUGAAGAAGGUUUUCGGCUCGUAAAGCUCUGUUGGCAGUGAAGAAAGAUAGAGGUAGUAACUAGCCUUUAUUUGACGGUAAUUACUUAGAAAGUCACGGCUAACUACGUGCCAGCAGCCGCGGUAAUACGGAGGUGGCAAGCGUUGUCCGGAUUUAUUGGGCGUAAAGCGCUUGCAGGCGGUUCAACAAGUCUUAGGUGAAAUCCUUCGGCUCAACCGGAGAAUUGCAUUAGAAACUGUUGAACUUGAGUGCAUAAGAGGAGAGUGGAACUCCAUGUGUAGCGGUGGAAUGCGUAGAUAUAUGGAAGAACACCAGUGGCGAAGGCGGCUCUCUGGUCUGCAACUGACGCUGAGGCUCGAAAGCAUGGGUAGCGAACAGGAUUAGAUACCCGAGUAGUC
rnacentral:rRNA from 1 species